UACGUAGGGUCCAAGCGUUAUCCGGAAUCACUGGGCGUAAAGCGUUUGUAGGCGGAAGUUUAAGUGAGAUGCGAAAUCUUGUGGCUCAACCACAUAGACGGUAUCUCAUACUGGGCUUCUAAAAUAUAGCAGAGGUAAGUGGAAUUAGUAGUGUAGCGGUAAAAUGCGUAGAUAUUACUAGGAACACCAAUGGCGAAGGCAGCUUACUGGGCUAUUAUUGACGCUGAGAAACGAAAGCGUGGGGAGCGAACAGG
rnacentral:rRNA from 1 species